rnacentral:rRNA from 1 species
UAACACAUGCAAGUCGCACGAGAAAGGGGGUUCGCCCCCGAGUAAAGUGGCGCACGGGUGAGUAACGCGUAGGUAACCCACCCUUUGGUUCGGGAUAACAGGGCGAAAGCUCUGCUAAUACCGGAUGUGACGGGGAGACGGGAGUUUCCCUGUGAAAGUCGGCCUCUACUUGUACGCCGGCGCCAGAGGACGGGCCUGCGUCCUAUCAGCUAGUUGGUGGGGUAACGGCUCACCAAGGCUUCGACGGGUAGCUGGUCUGAGAGGAUGAUCAGCCACACUGGCACUGGAACACGGGCCAGACUCCUACGGGAGGCAGCAGUGAGGAAUUUUGCGCAAUGGGGGAAACCCUGACGCAGCAACGCCGCGUGGGUGAAGAAGGCCUUCGGGUCGUAAAGCCCUGUCGGGUGGGAAGAAACCCCUUCAAGGUAAUAUCUUGGAGGCUUGACGGUACCACCAGAGGAAGCACCGGCUAACUCCGUGCCAGCAGCCGCGGUAA